GGGGGCAACCCUGAUCCAGCCAUGCCGCGUGCGGGAAGAAGGCCUUCGGGUUGUAAACCGCUUUCGGCCGGAACGAAAUCGGCGGGAUGAAUAGUCUCGCUGGAUGACGGUACCGGAAGAAGAAGCACCGGCUAACUACGUGCCAGCAGCCGCGGUAAUACGUAGGGUGCGAGCGUUAAUCGGAAUUACUGGGCGUAAAGCGUGCGCAGGCGGCCGCGUAAGCCAGAGGUGAAAUCCCCGGGCUCAACCUGGGAAUGGCCUUUGGGACUGCGUGGCUCGAGUGCGGCAGAGGGGGGUGGAAUUCCUGGUGUAGCAGUGAAAUGCGUAGAUAUCAGGAGGAACACCGAUGGCGAAGGCAGCCCCCUGGGCCAGCACUGACGCUCAUGCACGAAAGCGUGGGGAGCAAACAGGAUUAGAUACCCUGGUAGUCCACGCCCUAAACGAUGACGACUAGUUGUUGGGGGAGCAAUCCCUUAGUAACGUAGCUAACGCGUGAAGUCGUCCGC
rnacentral:rRNA from 1 species